rnacentral:rRNA from 1 species
CACGUAGGGGGCAAGCGUUGUCCGGAUUUAUUGGGCCUAAAGCAUCCGUAGCCGGUUCUACAAGUCUUCCGUUAAAUCCACCUGCUUAACAGAUGGGCUGCGGAAGAUACUAUAGAGCUAGGAGGCGGGAGAGGCAAGCGGUACUCGAUGGGUAGGGGUAAAAUCCGUUGAUCCAUUGAAGACCACCAGUGGCGAAGGCGGCUUGCCAGAACGCGCUCGACGGUGAGGGAUGAAAGCUGGGGGAGCAAACCGG